UUGCCAAGUUUUUGCCUGGAACUGAAAGGAGAAGAAAAAGGAUUCUGGACAUGUGCACAGAAGACACAUAGACCGGAAAUUCUAUCUUUAGCUUGGGAAUCUACGUUCAUUACUUCUCUCUCUUGGCUGGCACAUGGGGAACUUCGAGGUUGGAAGGCUCAUGAGGUUCUGGAAACUUCUCUGGUUGCCAUAGCAAAUACCCGGCCGAAGGAACGCUAAAGAGGAAGACUGUGGUUCAGUUCAGGCUUUCGGAGGCUGCAACUCGUCAUGGCCGAGGAAUCACGGCAGACAUCUUGGAAGCUCGGAGCUGCGGCAUCAGGACCUUGAGGCUGCUUGUUCACAUCUUGGUGGACCAGAAAACAGAGGAGUUGGAGAUAAGACUGAGCUGUGAACUGUAAGACUACACUUCCCACCAGCAACCUGCUCCCUUCAGUGAGGUCCCAGGUCCUAAAGGGUCCGCAGCCUCCAAGUAUGGUGGCAAGUAUGGUUCCGAGUGGGGAACGGGAAUUCUGAGCGGGAACACAUGAGCCUGCAGGGACUAUUUUGCACUCAAACGGCCGAAACAUGAAGCUUUGCCCAUCUGGAGACUGUAGCUAAUCAAUUCCCACUAAGGGUAGGUAUGUACUCUCUAGAUAGGUCUGGCCUGAAACCACAAAGGAGAAGGAAGAGAGAGAAAGGAAGAGAUAGGAGGAAGUGUGACAUCUGACUAACUGAUUGUGAGGACAACAGUGAACCAAUGAGGAUCAUUUGUCACAGGGGCACAGACAGGGUCACAGGGAUACAUGACUUGGGUAGCUCUAGCUAGACUCCCAUGUCCUGGACUCCGUCUCCAUACUGAGAUGUUAUAUGAUGUGUGACACGUUACAUAUUCAGUUUCAGCAUAAAAUGGUACUGUGCUCUAAGAGGAGUCUGCCAGGUGCUUUAACUCCAGGUCCUUAAUCCCAGUACCUAAGGCUCCAAGGCAUACAAUCUUUGUAUAUGCCAUUCAUAAACAACAAGAUCAUCCCUGGUGUCACUGGGGUUUUCUUUACUGUAGGAUGAAGAGAAUGAUACAGAACAAGAUACGUAAUUUAUGAGGGGAAAAUAGCAAGUGAGGUAGAUGUGGGGGUUGGGUCCUAAACCAGUUGAUUCUGAAGCCAUUAUAUCCUCGGAGUAUUCAUUAGUCUGGCAAAUAUUCAUCCAGUAUGUAAUUUUAAGGAUCUCUACUAGCUGGGCACUGCUCUGGAAGCUGUAUGUACCCUGGUGAACUAAUGGAGCAAAAACUCUUGUCUUCUGGACGUUUGUACAACAGCCACUUGGUGUCAAUUCCUGAAGCUUCAGACCCCAAGAGUUGACUGUGUUCCAAACACAAUGCAAAUAGAAAUUUCCAGAAAUAAACAGUUAGCAGGGUUUUAAUUGCAUAGCAUUCUGGAAUUCGUGGAGAAAUCUCACGCUGUCGUGAUGGCCUCUUGUCACCUGAGCAAUGGUUCCCCUUCCUGUCCGCUGCAGUCACACUGUGCGCACUACUUCCCCAGCCAUCAUUUGGCUGACAGAUCAAGCAGCCUCCUUUUUGUUUAAGAGUGCACCCCAAACACCAAAGAAUAGUGACAGUGGCAGUUCAGGUAUGCCAAAGGAGUUACUACCGCGUCAUCUCACAGAAACAGAAGGGUGAGCAUAGGACAGUAGGAUAUUUUGUUCCUAUAACCUUUAUUAUGGUGUAUUGCUAAAAUGGCUUAUUUAAAUGUUACUUCUUUUUUUACUGUGACUACUUUGUAAAUUAAACUUUCUCAUAGGCAUUUCUGAGGGUGUGCCUUUGAAGGGAGUUUUUUUGGGUGGGGGAGACUCUGGCCUCUUUCUCCUUUGCUUCUGUCAGUGAGAUAGGCAGUUUACUUUACCAUGUGCAUCCUGUUGUAACAAUUUGGCUCCCACUAGAGGCCUAAAGGCAAAGGAUUGGCCUCCUCCUGAAUUGGAAACUUGGAAACUGUAAGUCCAAAUAAACCUGUUUUCGUAAGUUAAUGUCUUCAAGUACUUUACUAUGGUGACAGAAAUCUGACUAACACGGGUCCCAAUACAUUGUUAGAGAAACUCGAGGCUAAAAACUUUCUUUGGGGAAGGGGGCUGGAUGGGAGGAGAUGUUUAUUCUUUGAUUUCGAGGAUGUGAGAAGACUGCGAUUUCCAAGGACAGCUGAGAUAUUGCCUAUGCAACGUCAGUCAAUAUCAUCUGCAAACUGGCUUCUGCUCUUAAAAAAACAAGUAAGUAAGGAGCAAUGGCCAAAAAGAAGUAUAAUCAGGGCUGCUCAGACAGGUCAGUUAAGGUCAAGCCUGAUGACCUGAGUUCAAUACCCUGACCCAUAUUUAUGAGAAAUCUGACUCUAGGGCUUGGUCUCUGACCUCUGAUCACUAUAUGCUCACAUUAUCAGAGGAGCUGUGGACCAAGGGAGUUGGAGUGCGUUUCCUAUCCUUGUAAGAAAAUACUGUUUCAGGGUAAAUUAUAAAGAAAAGGAGUGCCUUUCUUGGUUCUGCAGGUUGGGAAAUCCAAGAGUGUGGAGCUAGCUGCCAAGUGUCUUUCAUGACACGGCCGGAGAGAAUGCUAACCACUGCUCUGAAUGGUCUCACAAAGCCACCAACACCACCUCACCUUGUGACCUCACCUUACCCUGAUUACUUCCCAAAGGCCUCACGUCCUGUUACCAUUAACAAGUGAACUUGCUUCCGCACACAAACUUGUUGAGGAGUCCUUCAAACCAUAGCAGGAAUUCACUAUGCCACCUACAGGGGCCCACGAGGGGAGCUGCAGACAGGUUACCUUGCGCUUCUGAAACGUGUUCCUCCUUCCCUUCUCUUCCCUUCUCCCAGCCACCCUAUUAAGAAUAAUAAGCAACCGUAAAAGGCAAAACCAGGCACGCACACACACAUUAAUUUGCACACUCUUCUUUCCAGUACCCAAGGAAAUGAACAAAUCUACUUUCAAGGGGGAAAAUUAAGGGUCAACCUUUUUAUCUUUCCCUUAAAACAUGCCAGGCUGCCCUUUUGAGCAAGGUAAAUACUCAGCAGUGGGAGGAAGCAGGCUAGUACUUACUGGCUGUGGGACAUAGAAUGACUGUGCCUGGGCUCUACAACCCCUGUGUGUGCCCUUGGACAAGCCAUUUAGCCUCCAAGGGCAUCAGCAUCCCUUUUACAACCCACAGACCAGUUGCAUUUGUUCAUUACGUUCAUACAUAUGAAGCUUCUAGAACAGACUUCAUCACCUAACCUUAGAAAGGGCAACAUGUGAGCCAUGAAUCCAGCUCUCAAAGCCCUCACUGGAUAAAUCGGUCGCUGGCUUCCUCUCCGAAGUGAAGCUUCCUCUUUCUCAUCAUAGCUCCCAUUCUGCUGACUUGGGCUAAGAAGUGUGCUGACAACAAUCUUUGGAACUUCCUAGUGAGCCUGUUUCCAAUCCUCCAUUAAUUAAGUCACAUUUUUAGCUUCAGAAUUAACAGAAAGGAUUAGGUUUUGCCUUAACCCCAAGUCACUGAGCAGCAUAGCCAUGAGAAAUAUGUGCCCCACUCUUGAAGUAAAUUACAACUAGGGUCUGAGGCCCUUCACCCUCAAUAACAUCCCACAAUAGAACAGGGUUCUUACUGCCUACAGUUUCUUUUGGAUAUGUUUCUGCUGCUAGUGUCCCCGACGUUAGGUCCCUUUCCUUGCUCUGAGAUGGGGGACAUCAGAGACAUUGCAUGUACUGGAUACCCAUUCAUCCAUCGGCAGCUGAUCAUUUAUCUGUCCAAACGAUAAACGCCUUAUGCUUUAGCCUCCUAGGCAGUGUGGCUUUGGUACUUGGUGUUUGGGAAAAGAAACACUGGUCCUUUCCAGGUGAGACUUUCAUUCUGUGACUGUCCUUUGCUAUUGUUCUAGGACCCCCCCCCCCCAAAAAAAAUGAAUAUUAGGUGAAUACGUGAGUAAGUGAAGAAAAUGUUCACUUUCUGUUAAUUCUGAAGCUAAAUCUUAGACUUAGCAUGUUAGAGAGGAUAGUUUUCCCUGUUUUUCUUUGGGAGAAAUAACCCCAGGGUAUUUCCUGCAGUGUCUCUGAGUGAAACCCCUCUACCUGACUCCCGCCCGCAUGGACACACCCGGGUGAAGAGGGAAGGCAGCAACUGGCUCAAACCUUCACUCGCGAUUUCUGUCUACUGCUCCCUCUUUCUGGUUUUGAAACAAAAUGAUAGUGGUAGAAUCUGGAGUUGGGGAUGUCACUCAGUUGGGACAGUGUCUUGCCUAGCACGCACAAGGCCCUGGGUUCCAUUUCCAGCACCGAAUAAAUCAGAUGUAGUUAUAUAGUUCCAUUUGUACAUAAAGGCAGGAGGGUCAGAAGCAUAGGUCAUCAUUGGCUAGGCAGAGAGUCAGAAAGUAUCCUGAGCUCUUACAAGAGACUCUAUAUCCAAAUCAAUCAAUCAAUCAAUCAAUCAAUCAGCAAAUAGAAUCAUUUUGUUUGACCUGCCUAUAGGUAUUCAAACACAUUAAAUUUUUAUAUUAGUCAGAACAGAUGGUAUUCUCAAAAUACAAGUGAGAGUUCACAGUCCAGAAAUGAAAUCCCAGUUUCCAUUUUUCCAAGCCUGUGUUGAAUGAACUGUAGUGGGGAAAGCAAUACCCAGAUGCCACUAUACCUCCUCCCUAGGGUGGGGCUGCCCUCCCAGAAUCUCUGGUUAGCUGACAUGUGUUCCACUCCUCUGAUAAGACAGUCUCCAGUAUACUGAUAUGUGCAGGCAUCAACAGCCAGUUUUACAGGUCGUUAAUCGUCUGUCAGCUGAGGGAGGGUCACGUGACAUCUCAGACCUCUCUGGAAGCUUGAAAUAUUGGAGCCUGACAGCUUAGAAUAUUACAUCCUGGCAGGUUCUUCUCAGUUCCUCAGUAGGAAAACUUGCCACAUGACUGCCUCUUUGAGUGACACUUGCCACCCAGCCAAGUGCUAUCACGGAGUGGACAUCACACAUGGAUGGAUGGAACUGAACCAGGGGACAGAAGUGAGGAGGACGGCGAGGAGACAUGACUUCAAACCCCAGAACUGCCACCAGCCAGGAGUACGGGCUGAGGCAGUUUAUCUCUGUGGGCAUUCCUUCCCUCACCUGGGAAAUGGGCGCAGCAUCUCAGCUAGAGGGUCACCACCACAACCAAAGGUAAGGCAGUUUGCACACAUAUAGGUACACGCGUGUGCUCUCCUGUUUAUGUGCUCCUGCCAGAGCAAAAAGGGGGACACGACCCAAGUGUUUGUUGAUGGGCAAAGGGUUGGCGAAGUGCACUGCUUCCAGUGAAACCAUUCAGUGUUGACAAGAAGGCAGCUCUGACCCAUGCCAUGACAUGCAGGAGUGACGGCGUGGUGCUCAACGGAAUAAAAGAGUCCCAAAAGGGCUCCAUGGACACACAGUACCUAAAUCCAAAUCCAUGGGUGGGGAGUAGACUGUGAGCAGACCGUGGGGCUGGGAGGGGAGAGCUGUUUUCCCGUGGAAAGGGUACAGGGCUUUAGUUCAGGCUGUGGGGAUUUAGAGAUGGACUGAGGUGUUGGUCUCCUACGCCAUUGAACAUUGAACAACACAAUGGCUAGAGAAGAAAUGCAUGAAUAUUUAUACACACACAUGAAGGCUGCAGUGCCCUUAACAGCUCCUUGCGCUUGGUCAGCUGCUGGGGAGGUGGUUGCUAAGAGCAUCAUGACAAGACGUUAGAACUUUCACAGUGCAGUCUGCUCUGGGCAAAGCUGGGAUAAUUUUUAUUACCCUCUGACGCUGCCUUUGUUCCAUUGGUCCGAGGACUCCUGGUGUGUUUUCCUUCCCACGGUGAAGUCCAAAUGAAACUGUUACAUAUUUAGUAUAUAAGCAAGAGACACUCGCACGAACAUUAAUAGAGCGAUGAUAAAUCCAAACCUUCCCCAAUUUGCCCUUUGGAUGCAUGCUUGCCUUCUUCUCACACAGGCUUUGUCUAGGUGGGACAACAGGAGGCAACACUGAUCUUUCAUGGAGAUGUUUCCUGGCCUUGACUUGGAGCCUAUGCAUCUCCUCUGACUACUGAGCCCUGUUCCCCAUAGGGGUCCCCCCUUCCCCCGCCCCUCUCAAAUGAGAAAACAGAUUUUCUUCCAUCAGGAAAACAUGCAGUCGCACCCCGAUCCUCCCUGGAAAUGGUCACUACGAAAGCAAAAUGCGUCUAAUGCUAACAGAGCCCCGAUUCAUUGCUCUCAGAGCCUGUAGCAUUUUAUACUCCUCCCUGAGCAUAAUCAGGGGAGUGAUUCUGAACCUUGUUAAUCAGAAAGGGCCCUUUAAAAAUGUCAUGCUGUCAAUAUAAAACUUUGCUAAAUUGCAUUAUAAAUGCCAGAUUCAGUCAACUAACACAUUUAACACCGUUUCUUAAGUACAGUUUAGAUUUUAUCCGUGCCAGGGAGAAUGAGAAAAAUACCUCAGGAGAGCCGGAGCCCGUGGAUUCAUUCUGCUAAGCCCACUUCCCCCAGAGAGGGAUUAUAAAUAUUUUAUUCCAAAGCCAAGCCAUACGUCUAGCGAUAUUGUCAAUACGGUGCCAUCCCCUGAAGUUGCUGGCUUUAGAAUGGGAUGAUUCGUACAUGUGAGAGGUUAGCAGGGGUAAGUAAGCAUCUCAGACUUGUUUUUCAAUUAACUGGCGAGUCCUUGUGCUUCUGGUUUACUCCAGAGAGGUUAGGUUUCUCGUGAGGUGAGAGUUAAGCAUCAUAAGCACCU